ACAGUUUGCCAGGGGUGCUCUUGUUUGAGCUGAGACCAAACCCUUCGAACCUGAUUUGGCUAAAACCAACGUAGGGAGCGCAAGAUGAACCAUUC
rnacentral:ncRNA from 2 species